rnacentral:rRNA from 1 species
AACGUAGGAGACGAACGUUAUCCGGAGUUACUGGGCGUAAAGGGCGUGUAGGCGGUUUGUUAAGUCUGGCGUGAAAGCUCUCGGCUAAACCGGGAGAGGUCGUUGGAUACUGGCGAACUAGAGGAUGGUAGAGGCGUGUGGAAUUCCGGGUGUAGUGGUGAAAUGCGUAGAGAUCCGGAGGAACACCAGUGGCGAAGGCGACACGAUGGGCCAUACCUGACGCUAAAGCGCGACAGCAUGGGGAGCAAACGGG